UACGUAGGGUGCGAGCGUUAAUCGGAAUUACUGGGCGUAAAGCGUGCGCAGGCGGUGAUGUAAGACAGUUGUGAAAUCCCCGGCUCAACCUGGGAACUGCAUCUGUGACUGCAUCGCUGGAGUGCGGCAGAGGGGAUGGAAUUCCGCGUGUAGCAGUGAAAUGCGUAGAUAUGCGGAGGAACACCGAUGCGAAGGCAAUCCCUGGGCCUGGACCUGACGCGUCGAGGAGCGAAAGCGUGGGGAGCGAACAGG
rnacentral:rRNA from 1 species